GCCGGGCGCGGUGGCUCACGCCUGUAAUCCCAGCACUUUGGGAGGCUGAGAUGGGUGGAUCACCUGAGGUCAGGAGUUGGAGACCAGCCUGGCCAACAUGGUGAAACCCCGUCUCUA
rfam:Pan troglodytes isolate Yerkes chimp pedigree #C0471 (Clint) chromosome 19, whole genome shotgun sequence.